AUGGGAGCUUCCUCUUCUCCCCCUCUUACGCCCGGUCCUGCCCACGUACGGCCGGCAGGGCCGGGCAGGGCACACUCCGUUAUCCAAUCCGGCGUCCGUGCACGCAGCGCACACCAUGUAGGCCACAAGAUCUCAGAUAGCUUAUGUCAUGGUGGUGGCAUAAGCUACCAGUACCAGCUGCAUGCCUGUGCUCUUCUUCAAUUGGAGGCUUGGAGUGUGCCCUGGGCCGGCCAUGGCCCAUGGGCGCGUACGUAG
rnacentral:rRNA from 1 species